rnacentral:rRNA from 1 species
UUAGGAUGAACGCUAGCGACAGGCCUAACACAUGCAAGUCGAGGGGCAGCACAAGGAGCAAUCUGAGGUGGCGACCGGCGCACGGGUGAGUAACACGUAUGCAACCUGCCUGUAAGCGGGGAAUAACCCGUUGAAAGACGGACUAAUACCGCAUAAUACUAAAUUACUGCAUGGUAAUUUAUUUAAACAUUUAUGGCUUACAGAUGGGCAUGCGCAUGAUUAGCUAGUUGGAGAGGUAACGGCUCCCCAAGGCAACGAUCAUUAGGGGUUCUGAGAGGAAGGUCCCCCACACUGGUACUGAGACACGGACCAGACUCCUACGGGAGGCAGCAGUGAGGAAUAUUGGUCAAUGGACGAGAGUCUGAACCAGCCAAGUCGCGUGCAGGAAGAAUGUCCUAUUGGAUUGUAAACUGCUUUUGCAGGGGAAUAAAGUGCAUCACGUGUGAUGUUUUGUAUGUACUCUGCGAAUAAGGAUCGGCUAACUCCGUGCCAGCAGCAGC